AUUGUCGUGUGCAUCUCUGUAAACUCAAUAACACAGGUCUUCUGCUUCACAAAAAUUCUCUCUCUAAAUUUCUCUCUUGCAGUCUUUGAUUCUCAGUUACAUGUCAUUGAUAAAUUCAUCAUGGUAUCAGAGCAGGAUUAACGAGUGAUUCUAGGGGAUUUUUCGAGCAAUUGAAGGAAAAAUUCGAGAGAAUCUGCUCAAUUUCAAAGCUUAAAC
rnacentral:lncRNA from 1 species